CGGGCACAGAUUUCCUCUCACACAAAGCCCACAGACGUACACUUAAGACUCAGUCUAUUUUGGCUCUGCUUACCUCUGGUAGGCUACUUGGAUGGUCGAUAAGCGAAGCAUGAAUUAAACAUUUCUUCUCCAAUUAUACGAACCAGAACAACUUUUGCUCUUUUCUGUUGACAGUUUUUGAGACUUGGAUGCGUGGAGCGAAUCAAAUCACAUUCCGAUUGCAGCACGGCUAUCAUGUUUUUAAGUGCUGGUGGAUGUAUACCGGUUUGCCAUUUUGUUGGAUUAAACUGGGGAGGGGGCAAAUAACACGUUUUCUGGGGUUUUGCGACAUGGAGUCGAAUCUGAACCGAAAAUGAUUUUUGUUCGGCUGUAAUACUGCUCCGACCAAAGGUAAAAGUCUCUGUCCAUCCUGGUGCCGUUGAGGAAAUCCUGAAUCUGUGCAGUAAUCGACGGCAGGGAUUAAACCAGAGCGGAAUUAAAAGAGCGUGGAAGAUAUGGGUCCUGUUAUGUGUGACAAGAGAUUAGUGGGCCUCAUCCUCCUGCAAGCCUCCUCCCUCCUGUUGUUCAGUUCUGGGGAAAGGAUGUGCCCCAAUAGCUGCCACUGCGAGGGCAAGAUUGUCCAUUGUGAGUCAGCUGGCUUCCAGGACGUCCCAGAAAAUAUUUCAAUUAGUUGUCAAGGCCUGUCCCUGCGCUACAAUGACUUGCACACAAUGUUCCCCUACCAGUUUGCCCAUCUUAACCAGCUACUCUGGCUGUAUCUGGACCACAAUCAAAUUACAUUUGUAGAUAGUCGUGCUUUUCAGGGGGUACGACGGUUGAAGGAGCUGAUCUUGAGCUCCAAUAGGAUUUCACUGCUCCAUAAUGUCACUUUUCACGGAGUACCUAACCUCCGCAGUCUCGACCUCUCCUAUAACAAACUGCAGGAGCUGCAGCCAGGCCAAUUCUAUGGUCUUCGGAAAAUGCAGAAUCUGCACUUGCGCUCCAAUGGGCUCACUACAAUCCCUGUCCGGGUCUUUUUGGAAUGCAGGAGCUUGGAGUUCCUUGACUUGGGCUAUAAUCGGCUUCGCAUUCUCACUCGUACCGCAUUUCUGGGGUUAUCUCGACUCAUGGAACUCCAUCUGGAGCACAAUCAGUUUUCGCGAAUCAAUUUCUUUCUGUUUCCUCGCCUUGCUAACCUUCGUACCCUGUAUCUACAAUGGAACCGUAUUCGAGCUGUUAACCAAGGCUUUCCGUGGAGCUGGUAUACCUUGCAGAAGCUUGAUAUUUCUGGCAAUGAGAUACAGACACUAGAUCCUGUAGUAUUUCAAUGCCUUCCCAAUCUUCAGGUUCUCAACUUAGAGUCCAACAAACUGGCAAAUGUUUCUCAGGAAGUUGUGGCUGCCUGGAUCUCCCUAACAACCAUUAGCCUUGCAGGUAAUAUGUGGGACUGUGGGCCAGGCAUUUGUCCUCUUGUUUUCUGGCUCAAGAAUUUCAGAGGCACCAAGGACACUAGUAUAAUCUGCAGCAGUCCCAAACACCUUCAAGGGGAAAAGGUUAUGGAGACCACCAAGAACUACAUUGACUGUGAUGAUUAUGAGAUCACUGCUCAAUCUCCUUUGUAUCUGCAGACCUUUGAUCCAAGUUUUGAUCUUACCCCUGAACCAACAAUGGCUCCAACAACACCUCCACCCUUGCCUUCACCUGCGUCUGAGGCACCCAUUCCUCCUCCCCAGCCUCAACCACCUCAACGUCCCACCUUUCCCAGCCAUAAAAAUACAGACCCCAGAGACUCACGUCAAUGGAUACCCUCAUCUUCAAAUAGCUUUUUAGUGACACCAGCUCCUGAACAGGACAAUGUGUCUUUUCACAAAGUGGUGAUGGGUGGUGUGGCACUGUUCCUCUCAGUGUCUCUUAUCUUAUCAGUGAUUUUUGUCUCCUGGAAGCGAUACCCUGGUGCUACCCGACUGUUGCAGCAGAGUUCAAUUGUGGGUCGAAAGCGUAGGAAAAAGAGUCAGGAACCAGAGCAGAGCAUGAGCUCCCAGCUCCAGGAAUAUUAUAUGAGCUACAACCCUGCAUCCACACCAGAGGCCUUGGAGGUGCUGGGCAAUGGGACAGGUACCUGCACCUGUACCAUAUCCAGCUCCAGGGAAUGUGAGGUAUGACAUGUGCAAGGCAGCCUAAAAUCAGAUCAGAUCAAAACAAAUGAACGGCUCAGGAUAUAGAGAAUGAAUAUACCUGUCCCAGACCGUUACCUGGAGGUUGGAUUGGAGACUUACCCACCAUACACUGAAGGGAAUGUUUUGUUCAACACAAAAAAUCCACAGGUGGAGGAUUUGUGCCUAUCUGCAUUUCAUCAGUCAUAUAAACCUUCGUUCCCAUGAUACCACUCACACUGUCAGUGCUUUUUUUAAUGGAUUGCUCUGGAUAUCUCUGAAAAUGGACACCUGAGAGACAGCCGCUGCUGCCUCAGAUGCAUAUUUUACUAGAACACUCGUUCAUUCAUGUGGAUGCCUCACUUUGUUCUUUAAUGCACCUGGUGGGUGUCCAAACAAGUGGAUGUAGUGCAAAAUUUAAAAUUUGACAAUGCCUCUGGGUGGGCCAUGCAGAGCUCUCAAUUAAAGAGCCAUGGAAAAGCCGGGAACAUGAUUCCAAUGAAAGCUGUCCAGCCUUUGAAAAAAGCCAAGCAUCAAAAUGACUUAAACUAUAUUUGAAUCCACUCAAACUGUAUGUCUGACCUAUAUAUAAACUAUAAAUAUGAUGGAACCUCAGUCUUUGUUAAUAUACCCUAAAAUUUAAUGACCUUACGCUUUGUUAUUUAAUGUAAAUCCUCAGAAAAUGUGUGUAUCGGAAUAACUAUAUAUUAAAAAUGACUUUGAGUUAAGACCUGUCUUAUACAAGAUUGGUCUGUACAGUUUUAUUUAAGGAGAGCCCCAAGUUUACAUGCCCUUCAUAACAGAUGCUGUUAUGUAGACUAAUUUAGACAUGGCCUAUGUACUCCUAUGAAUGACUCCUAUGGGAAAAAGUGUGUGUGUGUUUGUGUGUGUUCAGUUUGUGUGUCAGCUAUUGACCUGUUCAAAAUCUGUUUGGGUUCCAUCUGCCCCUCAAGCCUGCAAUUUUGUCUCUUGAAAGUACAAAUGUUCUGUAAUUUUUAUCUAUGCUCCCCCUUUUAAUUUAAUAAUUACAUUUUGUAACAAACUGUGUAAAGUGUACCCCACCAAGUUAUGUUUUAUUAUGAGAACGUUGUCAAAAUCAAUGGUGAGAAAUACACAUUUGUCAAAUGGAAAUUAGUAUCGAUCAACUUGUUCAAUUUUUUAUGAAUAUAUUAUUACACUUUACUCAACACUAUGGAUUUUCCAGCUAAAAAGAACAUUAACAAUUUCUUGAAUAUUGAGUAGGCUGGACAAUUCACUUUUCAUUGCACUUGCAGGAAAUUAAUAUUGUAAUUAAGUGCAAUUGAGCUGUAAUCAAUCAAAUCAAAAUGUAUAUUUAAAAUGUAUAUCAUUUGGUUGCAGUCUUACAGCAACUCAGUAAUUUUUUCUCAUUAAAAAGAUUUUCCUCUGAGCAUAUGAAAUGAAUGGUAC